GGCCGCCUGGCGUAAUGGGCGUCUGACUACGAAUCAGGAGAUUGCAGGUUCGACCCCUGCGGUGGUCA
rnacentral:tRNA from 1 species